UGAUUAUUAUAUUUCCUGUGUUGUUAUCGAUGGCCAUGAAGCUGAUCCAUUGGAGUGUCGUAUUGCUGAUGCAGUUUAUGCAGUUGAGGAUGUUAUCGAAUCCCAAAUUGUGCGUCAAAUUCAGAAACGAUACACUGCUGUUGAAGAUAAUGACUUCUUUCAUGAUUGUAACAACCCGGAAAAAAAAAUCAAAAAAAAAGAAGAAGAAAACGUCUCUCACUCCUAUCCUCACGUUGAAACCGCUCUCCCCUCACUCCAUAAAUCUCUCCCCCAUCUAAACCAAAUCUCCACAUGCAUAUCUCCCCAUGAUUCCACGUUUUCUUCAGUUCUAUUAAUUCCAAGAAAAUCAAGAAUUAGAAAUACAAAGAAGAAGUGUGAGCACAGUACCAGUUGAGGCCUAAGAAGAAGAUCAAGCAUCCAGUGUUUUGCAAAUUAUCAACGGUUCCCCUGAAUUUUACUCUAUUUUCAACUGCUUUUAUUGGCAUAUCUCUAUCUGCUCGAAAAUAUCCACCCAUCUUUCUCCCCUGGUAAUUAAGUCGUUCGUUGGUUGCUAGUUGGAGUUGCGUAGUUGGGGGAUUGAAGAAAUUCGAGUUGAGAUAAUUGCUCUCCGGUUGAAUGGGGAUUUGCCGGCGACAACCAGCGAAGGAGAAGAGAGACUGGAGUCAACAGCGGCUGACGUGACAGAUUGUGCUGCAGCAGCAGCAGCAACGGCGACGCGACCUCGACUCUGGGCUGGAUCGCGCACAGCCACGGUGGGAGGAAAGCAGCAACGAUGCCAGCGUCGAGUGCGAACAGCACCGUGCAGCGAGGGAUCAGCAGCGACGCCUUGGAGAAGAGAGCAGCAGCGGCUGACCCGGUGACUACGCCGACAGCACCAUGGCGGCAGCGUCAUAUCUUCUCGGCAAGCAGUGGCCGGUGGCGUGGAGUGAAUCGGGAAGGCGACGGGGAAGGUGAAGAUGCAGAAGCAGAUAGGAGGCGAUGCGCCGUCGUACUGCUACGCGUGCUUCUCCGGUAAUUAUCCGGUGCAGCCGACGGGGUUUUGGGGAAGAUUCCAAUUGAUGAGUAAAUUGGGAAAUUAUGCAAGGAAUUCAUUGUGCCUUUGCAUACUGAUGCGGCGCAGGCUUUGGGAAAUUCCCUAAUUUUGGGCAUAAUUAAAAUGAAGGAGAAAUAGGUGAAAUACCGAUGGUGAAGAGGAAGUGAUGUUGGGCCACUUUGGUUUGGGCCUCACAAAUAAGGUGGAGAAUUAAGGUGGCCAAGUAGAAAAUUAAUUUGUGUCAUAUUACAAAUUAAAAAGAGAUAGGCUAAGGGGAACACUCAUGAUGACGAAGGCUUUUCAUGCACGCUUUUCGGGGAUGGAAUGAAGCACAAGUUAAAGCUUUAAACAAACGAGGGUUAAGGACAGACAGUCGGGAUAGGUAGCCUUGGGACGGUGAUGAACUCUCUCUGAGUCCCCACCUUAAUAACCUGCUCUGAUACCAUCUUGAAGAUGGUAACCGAGAGGGAUAAGGGAUAAAAGGCUAGGCAUGGUGAAUUGCAGAGAACAAAGUUUAUGAUUCUCUUAUUUCUGUAUUUCUGUGUAUUUUACAUUGUAUACAAUGAUCUCUUUUUAUAGGAGAGAAAUACAAGUAUAUUUGGAAACAUAUCAAUCUAUUCUAGGUAUAA